GUCUCACUUUAGGACCCACCUCUCAGCAUCUCUGCCGAGAAGGUCAAGAUGGUGCAACCUUGAAGAUGCUUACAAGGAUGGGCUGGCCUGGAAAGGCUUCUGCAGCUGGCAUAGCUACAGUCUGGAACAUCAGUGACGUUCAGGCAGACUUCCUGGAGGAGAAGCAUCCUGGGCCGCAUAGGCUCCUGCAGGACAUUGACAAGGAGGCUGCUCCAGUCCGAGCUGGUGGACCGGCCAGAUCCACGGCAUCACCUGCGACUGAGAGCCGGGUUCCCACUUCCAUGGGAGCUCCAUGUUCUCCAGUCCUUCCGGCCUUGACCAGAGCGCAGGGCUGGGUCAGGCGAAGAGCAGGCGGGCACCGGGUCUGCUGUGCUUGUGACUCACUGCUUAGAACAGCAUGGGGUCACGACCUUCUUCUCCCUGAGCCUUGGCGUGAAGGACGUUCUAGAAGGUGGGCUUCCUGGGCGGUUUGCUGGAGGGACGGCUCGGCUCCCCAGCCUGGUGGCUGCAGGCGGUAGGUUCUCAGAGGUCUGUUUCCAGGUAUGGUCUGCUCAUUGCCCCUUCGGGCAUUCAGUCUCCCACAGGGUCCUUAUAGAGACCCGCAGAGAGAGACACCGACGAGGAGGUAGAGGUUCAAGUGAUGCAGCCAUGAGCCAAGGGCUCUAGGAGCUGCUGGAUGGUGAAAGAGCCCCCGGAGGAGUCGCCCCUGGAGAUUCCGGAGGGAGUGUGGCCUGCCGACCCCUUGAUUUUGACUUCCGGCCUCCAGAGCUGUGAGAGAAUCAACUUCUGUUGUUUUCAGCCACCACGUUUCUGGGGUUUGUCACGGUGGCCACAGGAAAUGGAUCUGCUUACUGAGGGUGGCAGGGUUGGUGGCUGGCGGUGAAGGCCGUGGAUGUGGAGGAGGGGAGUGGGAGGGCGAGGGGCACUGGGGCUUCCUCCAGGGGCCAGGCAAUGGGACUUCCUGCUGGUUUGAGUGGGGAACCUGGGAUCACAUGAAUCAUUCAUUCCAUAUUUGCUGAGAUCCCAAGGGGGCCACGGUCUCGUGGAUCAUAGCCUGAGAGACGUCCUGGACCAAACUGUCCUUCCGAUCGUCCCCGGCCCUUCCGGCCGUCCCCAGCCCUGGUUCGACACCUUCAGCCCACGUGCCCGCCGGAGCCCCUUGCAGACUGUCAGCCCGCAGACUCCAGGACCGUCACUCAGGCUGCCCUCGGUGCUGAGAGCCUAAGAAGUGAGGGGAAGCCCAGCUGUCACACCAGUGUCACCUUGAUGGCCUUGUUUUAUUCUCUACCCCCACCCUCCAUCUUUCAGUUCCAGAUGGCUUUAAAGUGGCUUGGGAAGCAGUGACACCCACAUAGCAAGUUCACUUGGAGUUUGGGAGGCUGGGAAACGGGGUGGGGUGGGGAAGGGAGUGGGCACUUGGAAGCAGUGUGAGUCACGUGGGGCUGUGUCCAGGAGCUGGAAAGGAGUGUGGGCCACAGCGCUGCUUGGGACAAAAAGCCUCAAGCUGGACCCUUUCUU
rnacentral:lncRNA from 1 species